GACGAACGCUGGCGGCGUGCCUAAUACAUGCAAGUAGAACGCUGAAGAGAGGAGCUUGCUCUUCUUGGAUGAGUUGCGAACGGGUGAGUAACGCGUAGGUAACCUGCCUUGUAGCGGGGGAUAACUAUUGGAAACGAUAGCUAAUACCGCAUAACAAUGGAUGACACAUGUCAUUUAUUUGAAAGGGGCAAUUGCUCCACUACAAGAUGGACCUGCGUUGUAUUAGCUAGUAGGUGAGGUAAUGGCUCACCUAGGCGACGAUACAUAGCCGACCUGAGAGGGUGAUCGGCCACACUGGGACUGAGACACGGCCCAGACUCCUACGGGAGGCAGCAGUAGGGAAUCUUCGGCAAUGGGGGCGACCCUGACCGAGCAACGCCGCGUGAGUGAAGAAGGGUUUCGGAUCGUAAAGCUCCGUUGUAAGUCAAGAACGGGUGUGAGAGUGGAAAGUUCACACUGUGACGGUAGCUUACCAGAAAGGGACGGCUAACUACGUG
rnacentral:rRNA from 1 species